ensembl:lncRNA
CUCCCCUACUGCCCAUGUGGGGAAAGGUAGCUAUCCAGUGCAUCUGGGCAUUCUGACCGGCUCUUUCCUUCUCUAGGACUAUUCUAGAAUCCCUGGGAAAGGCUGGGAACAUGGGCUCCAUGCAGACUCAUCCCUGUGAGCCGGGGUCUGUCAUCUGUCAAAUGGGGUCAGCUCACAGCUGGCCUCACUUGCUCCCCACAGUGUGCGUGUGAUGACAUGCUUGGGGCAGCAGCCACUUCCCGCCAAGGACCAUCUUCUCCCAGUGCAAGAUGCAGGCGUCUCAUGGGGCCAAGAAGACCCUAGUCCUUCAGUUGUGUCCCUGUGGAGAAAACAAGUCCCUGCAGGGUCUCGGUGCAUCGCGUGCAGAGUACCGCAAGUGGGCGUCCCGCGACAUACGCAGGGCAGUGUAGAAACCGCGAGGAAAGGGAGGCGCGCUCCUCACGGGCUGCCCGGCGCAUCGCCGCGUCCUCAUCUGUGCCUCCGGGGACCUGUAAGGCAGAUGCUGGGGGCUGCACCCGGCCCCUCGGCUCAGCCGAGCCCUGCCCCCGCGCGGUCCCCGCCCGGCACGCCCAACUCUCCAGCGCCGCGUCUCGGCGAUGACCACCACCCGCCUCUGCGCCCCAGGACGCGCGAGCCGAGCCACCUCGGCGGCAAGCAGCGCCGGAACUUGGGGGCGCGGUGGAGGAGAGGGCCGGCGCCCGGUCCUCUGGAGAGAGACGACUCCACGGAUCUGCGGCCCGAGAGACGCGUCUCUCGCCCCGGGGCCGGGUGGUUCGCGCAGGAGGAAGGACCGCGAAGCGGGCUCUGCCUGGGCUUGCCUGGGCUUGUUCAGAGCCGGGCUGCUUCCCUCAGUGGCCGCGCCGAUCUGGGGGGGAUUUCGAGAUUUUGCGGGAGCCUUGGAGCCAAAUCCCAGGGAGGAGGAGGCCGGAAGCCUGCGCGACCAGUUCGCCGUCCAAGGAUGGAGCCCAGUUCCACCUACCGAUGCCAGCUUUGGGUCCAGCGAGCUGUGAGGCCUGCCAGAUUACCAUGACAACAGGAACUGGAUCCAAGCCACCAAAGGAUGGAGAGCCAAGACAGCAGUGGCUUUUUCAAGUCUUGGAUCAUCAGGCACACCCCAUGGCCUCCAGCAAGCCCGGGAUAACCCAACAGCAAUACAGGCCCUGUGUGUCCCCAGAGCCUGCCAAACCAGCUUGGGGUCCUUGCCGUCCUGCCAUUGGUAUCUACUUGCUGACACUGAGUG